rnacentral:rRNA from 1 species
CAGUCGCCGCGGGAAUACGAAGGGUGCAAGCGUUACUCGGAAUUACUGGGCGUAAAGCGUGCGUAGGUGGUGGUUUAAGUCCGUUGUGAAAGCCCUGGGCUCAACCUGGGAAUUGCAGUGGAUACUGGGUCACUAGAGUGUGGUAGAGGAUAGUGGAAUUUCCGGUGUAGCAGUGAAAUGCGUAGAGAUCGGAAGGAACAUCUGUGGCGAAGGCGACUAUCUGGGCCAACACUGACACUGAGGCACGAAAGCGUGGGGAGCAAACAGGAUUAGAUACCCCAGUAGUCCCUGUCCUUAUACA